rnacentral:lncRNA from 1 species
UUUCAUGUUGGACAAAAAUUCAUUUGAAGCUUCUUUGAUGAUGUAGGAUCAAGUUGAAUUUGGACCAAAAACUUUCCAUUUUUGGAAACUUUCAAUUACAGGUCACUUUCCAUUUUUGGAAACUUUUGAUCUGACCUCAAAUUCUUCAAGAUAUGCAUUUGACAUGAUGAAUAAAUAUUGUUGGAACAUGAAUGGGAUGAAAAAACUCAUUUCUCCACCUCCUAGCCCUCAG